rnacentral:misc_RNA from 1 species
GAUGAAGAACGUAGCGAAAUGCGAUACUUGGUGUGGAUUGCAGAAUCUCGUGAACCAUCGAGUCUUUGAACGCAAGUUGCGCCCGAAGCCAUUAGGCCGAGGGCACGCCUGCCUGUGUGUCACACACCGUUACCCUCGCGCCAACGUCCAUCGUUGGCCGCGGCGCGGGGCGUGCGCUGACCUCCCGCGAGCGGGGUCUCGUGGUUGGUUGAAAAUCGAGUUCGCGGUCGAGGGUGCCGUGAUGAAAUGGUGGAUGGGCGACGCCCGAGGCCAAUCACGCGCGACUCUGUCCGGCUCGGACUCCUGGACCCCUUCGGCGUCUCCGGAAGCUCUUUGGCGAGACCUCAGGUCAGGCGGGGCUACCCGCUGAGUUUAAGCAUAUCAAUAAGCGGAGGA